rnacentral:tRNA from 4 species
GGGCCCAUGGUAUAGCAGUAACACGCGUCCAUGGCAUGGACGAGUCCGGGGUGCGACUCCCCGUGGGUCCACAA